GAGAACCGUCACCAUCCAUUACUCAGAAAGUCUCCUUUGUUCCGUGCAAUGGCCUAGAGGCUUCUGUAUCCAGGAAGAGGGCAUCACCCCUUCUGCCUGCGGGAGUAUGGGAGCACUCAGAGGAAAAUCCCUUUGCAGACAUGUGCAUGCUGGUCCUUCGAGGUUGUGUCUCGCUGUGUAUCCUGUGUUGGCCUGGUACUUGCCCUGCAGUUCAAGCUGGCCUCGCACUUGCAGAAAGUAGCCUUUCUGUGUCUGACUCCUUAGUACCAGGAUGACAGAUGUGUACUACACCG